rnacentral:rRNA from 1 species
GAUGGGCCCGCGGUGCAUUAGCUAGUUGGUGAGGUAACGGCUCAGCGCAAGGCAACGAUGCAUAGCCGACCUGAGAGGGUGAUCGGCCACACUUGGGACUGAGACACGGCCCAGACUCCUACGGGAGGCAGCAGUAGGGAAUCUUCCGCAAUGGACGAAAGUCUGACGGAGCAACGCCGCGUGAGUGAUGAAGGCUUUCGGGUCGUAAAACUCUGUUGUUAGGGAAGAACAAGUACAAGAGUAACUGCUUGUACCUUGACGGUACCUAACCAGAAAGCCACGGCUAACUACGUGCCAGCAGCCGCGGUAAUACGUAGGUGGCAAGCGUUAUCCGGAAUUAUUGGGCGUAAAGCGCGCGCAGGCGGUUUCUUAAGUCUGAUGUGAAAGCCCACGGCUCAACCGUGGAGGGUCAUUGGAAACUGGGGACUUGAGUGCAG